rfam:Myotis davidii contig159843, whole genome shotgun sequence.
GGCAGUUGUCAGGUGAUGCACUCUGGAAUCAAGCUCCCUCCUCUCUGGUUCCGGGUGCGUCACCCGAGAACUGUA